rnacentral:rRNA from 1 species
GACGAACGCUGGCGGCGUGCUUAACACAUGCAAGUCGAAGAUAGUGGCGAACGGGUGAGUAAUAUGUGGGUAACCUGCCCUCCCUUUUGGGAUAAGCCUUGGAAACGGGGUCUAAUACCGAAUAAAGGGGGAUGGGCUCGCGGCCUAUCCGCGUGUUGGUGGGGUGAUGGCCUACCAAUGCGGUGACGGGUAGCCGGCGUGAGAGGGUAAACGGCGACGUUGGGACGGAGAUGAGGCCGAGACUAGUACGCGAGAGAGCAGUGGGGGCAAGUGCAGAAUGUGCGAACGACUGAUGCAGCGACGCCGAAUGGGGGAUGAAGGCUUUAGGAUUGUGAACCUCUUUCACUAUAGAGAGGGUAGGUAGACAGGAAGCGCCGGCUAACUACGUGCCAGCAGCCGCGGUAAUUC